CACACACUCUCACUCAGUUGCUUUUAUGUUUUCGGCUCAGGUCGGAGAUGUUCGUGUUCGUUUCUCUUACGCCGGUCUCAGCGGUGACGGAAUGUAUCCUGGCCCCGCCCACAAGGUGAGCGUGGUGGCGAUGCAGCGGGGCGAUCAGCUCAAGCCCUUCCGGACGCGCUCCGGAGACCUGCUGGAGAUCCUCUACAUGGGUGACCUGUCAGCAGAGGAGGUUUUCGCUCGAGAGCAUCAGCUCAACAACAUGAAGACCUGGGCUCUGAGGCUCGGCGGCUGGGCCCUCAUGUUCCUGAGCGUCAGUCUGAGCACACGGAUCAUUUACACACUGGGUAACACACACACACACACACACACACACACACACACCUCUCACUCUUCUCUCUCUCAC